rnacentral:rRNA from 1 species
CCCUUAGGACCGGGAUAACCCUGGGAACKGGGAUAAUACUGGAUAGGCAAUUUUUCCUGUAAUGGUUUUUUGUUUAAAUGUUUUUCGCCUAAGGAUGGGUCUGCGGCCGAUUAGGUAGUUGGUUAGGUAAUGGCUUACCAAGCCGUUGAUCGGUACGGGUUGUGAGAGCAAGAGCCCGGAGAUGGAACCUGAGACAAGGUUCCAGGCCCUACGGGGUGCAGCAGGCGCGAAACCUCCGCAAUGUGAGAAAUCGCGACGGGGGGAUCCCAAGUGCCAUUCUUAACGGGAUGGCUUUUCAUUAGUGUAAAGAGCUUUUGGAAUAAGGGCURGRMAAGACCGGUGCCAGCCGCCGCGGUAACACCGGCAGCUCUAGUGGUAGCAGUUUUUAUUGGGCCUAAAGCGUCCGUAGCCGGUUUAAUAAGUCUCUGGUGAAAUCCUGUAGCUUAACUGUGGGAAUUGCUGGAGAUACUAUUAGACUUGAGACCGGGAGAGGUUAGAGGUACUCCCAGGGUAGAGGUGAAAUUCUGUAAUCCUGGGAGGACCGCCUGUURMGAAGGCGUCUAACUGGAACGGUUCUGACGGUGAGGGACGAAAGUUAGGGGCGCGAACCGGAYUMSAUACCCGUGUAGUCCUAACUGUAAACGAGCG